GAUGAAGAACGUAGCGAAAUGCGAUAAGUAAUGUGAAUUGCAGAAUUCAGUGAAUCAUCGAAUCUUUGAACGCACAUUGCGCCCCUUGGUAUUCCGGAGGGCAUGCCUGUCCGAGCGUCAUUGCUGCCCUCCAGCCCGGCUGGUGUGUUGGGCCCCGUCCCCCUUCCCGGGGGGACGGGCCCGAAAGGCAGCGGCGGCACCGCGUCCGGUCCUCGAGCGUAUGGGGCUUUGUCACCCGCUCUUGUAGGCCCGGCCGGCGCCAGCCGACCCCCUCAAUCUAUUUUUCAGGUUGACCUCGGAUCAGGUAGGGAUACCCGCUGAACUUAAGCAUAUCAAUAAGCGGAGGA
rnacentral:misc_RNA from 1 species